GACGAACGCUGGCGGCGUGCUUAACACAUGCAAGUCGAACGGAAAGGCCCUGCUUUUGUGGUGUGCCCGAGUGGCGAACGGGUGAGUAACACGUGAGUAACCUGCCCUUGACUUUGGGAUAACUUCAGGAAACUGGGGCUAAUACCGGAUAGGAGCUCCUGCUGCAUGGUGGGGGUUGGAAAGUUUCGGCGGUUGGGGAUGGACUCGCGGCUUAUCAGCUUGCUGGUGGGGUAGUGGCUUACCAAGGCUGUGACGGGUAGCCGGCCUGAGAGGGUGACCGGCCACAAUGGGACUGAGAUACGGACCAGACGCCUACGGGAGGCAGCGGUGGGGAAUAUUGCACAGUGGGCGGAAGCCUGUGGCGGCAACGCCGCGUGCGGGAUGACGGCCUUCUGGUUGAAAACCGCUGUCGCCUGUGACGAAGCGUGAGUGACGGUAAUGGGUAAAGAAGCACCGGCUAACUACGUG
rnacentral:rRNA from 1 species